UACGUAGGGUGCGAGCGUUAAUCGGAAUUACUGGGCGUAAAGCGUGCGCAGGCGGUUUUGUAAGCCAGGUGUGAAAGCCCCGGGCUCAACCUGGGAAUGGCAUUUGGGACUGCAAGGCUGGAGUUUGGCAGAGGAGACUGGAAUUCCUGGUGUAGCAGUGAAAUGUGUAGAUAUCAGGAGGAAUACCGAUGGCGAAGGCAGGUCUCUGGGCUAUAACUGACGCUCAUGCACGAAAGCGUGGGGAGCAAACAGG
rnacentral:rRNA from 1 species